rnacentral:ncRNA from 1 species
AUUGAGGAAGGAUUUGACUGAUUGCAAACCUCACAAAAAAAAUGCUAAACCAGAUU